AAUGCAGAGAGCUAUCACUACGAUCUACUUUGCAUUUUUUUGCUGUGGUUUCCCCGGAGCUAAAAGGAGCUGCAAAGUUAAAAAUAUGGGCGGAUGAUCGACCGGUCAACCCACGUUUGUUCCAAGCUUGCUCUGCCGAGUUUGGAGAAUGGGGUAAUACGUAACAAGACCUCCUUUUGGCGUUAUGAAUCCAGCACUAUGUACAGAUAUGGAUGUGGAAUGUGGAAAUAUAGAUGAGGGUAAUGAAACACGACAGUAGAACAAAGGCGAGAGUCUAUGUAGGGUAUAAUUGUAUGGAUCUAAGGAAUUGAAGAUUUGCAGAAGAAUAUGUGCGCAAUGUAAGUUAAAUAGAGAGGCAAUAACAUCGAUAGUAAUGCAAUAAUAGUACAAGAAGAAGAAGAAGAGGUAACAUUACUAUACAAAUGAAAUAAUGAUAUAUAUCACACAUAUCACAAUUCGCUUGUGAUGAUGUUGAAAGUGUAUGAGGAAUGUAUAAAAAAAGGUAUCUUUCAUAC
rnacentral:sRNA from 1 species